UACGAAGGGGGCUAGCGUUGUUCGGAAUCACUGGGCGUAAAGCGCACGUAGGCGGAUUUUUAAGUCAGGGGUGAAAUCCCGAGGCUCAACCUCGGAACUGCCUUUGAUACUGGGGAUCUGGAGUCCGGGAGAGGUGAGCGGAACUGCGAGUGUAGAGGUGAAAUUCGUAGAUAUUCGCAAGAACACCAGUGGCGAAGGUGGCUCACUGGCCCGGAAACUGACGCUGAGGCGCGAAAGCCAGGGAGCAAACGGG
rnacentral:rRNA from 1 species